AGAACAGGAAGGGAAGACCGGUUGGGGCAAGAAGUGUCGUCUAUUCUCUCCUAGCCCUCACUUCGCAGUGGCUGAUUCAAGAGGGAAGCCUGCAGGGAUGUCAUCAGGGAGCCAGGACGCAAAACGAAACAAAAUAUCGAAAUACCAUCACCGCCUUUCAGCACAUUUCCCUGCCCUGACCCCAGGAGGAGGCCUUACGUGUGAUGCAUCAGGGGUGCGGGUACGUGCCCUCCAGACGGCCAGAACCCAAUGCCUGAUUCACCAGGAAGAAUUCUUGCUAUUUCACUUAAAUAUUCCAAAGUGUCCCGUUACCGGAGCUGAGCUGGAAGGUGGAGCAACAAGGACUCUGCAGAGGUCAGCCUCCCGGUGCGUGGAGCAGGGUGGAGAAUGGAGGACGGCGGAUCUGCAGUGGCAAAUGGAGGAUAACCAGCCCACGAUUUGUGCUGAAGAGGAAAAAGACAAAAGAAACAAGCACAUUAGUAAUUUUCAAAAUGCUGUACUCGUCCCAUUACAUAUCUAUUACUAUUAUUAAUAUUUUUAUUGAAGUAUAAUUGACAUACAUACAUAUCUCUGUUGGACUUUUAUAUUGGACUCAUUCUCACCUUUAUAAAUAACAAAAGAGGACGUCUUUCAAACUCUAAAUGUUCUGAUGAAACUAAUGUAUAUUAAGAGAUUCUAAUGAGAGGCAGCACAGCCUCUCCCAGAGAUUGUAUUAAAGUCUCUUUUGGUCGUAAGUUACAGAAACACACUAGAGCUAGCUUAAACUGAAAAAGAAAAAUAAAAGAGGAGGAAAGUAGAAUUAUUAGGAGGCUGGGGCGUCUCCCAGGUGCAGUGGACUUCAGGAACAGACUGGCAGCCUCCAUCACUUGUUCCUUCUCCCUGUGCCCCUAUUUUGUUCUUCUCUCUGCUCUGUAAACCAGCUUCUUCUAUAUUUCCAGUCCACACAGCAGAAAAGAUGGCCGCCUGGUACUCCCAAGUUCACCACAGUGUAGUCACCAGAGAGGGACUGAACCUUAUGUCUUAGUCCCUGUACCAGUCAGGGCCCA